GACGAACGCUGGCGGCGUGCUUAACACAUGCAAGUCGAACGCUGAAGCUCAGCUUUUGUUGGGUGGAUGAGUGGCGAACGGGUGAGUAACACGUGAGUAACCUGCCCCCUUCUUUGGGAUAACGUCCGGAAACGGGUGCUAAUACUGGAUAUUCACUGGUCUUCGCAUGGGGGUUGGUGGAAAGGGUUUUUCUGGUGGGGGAUGGGCUCGCGGCCUAUCAGCUUGUUGGUGGGGUGAUGGCCUACCAAGGCUUUGACGGGUAGCCGGCCUGAGAGGGUGACCGGUCACAUUGGGACUGAGAUACGGCCCAGACUCCUACGGGAGGCAGCAGUGGGGAAUAUUGCACAAUGGGAGCAAGCCUGAUGCAGCGACGCCGCGUGAGGGAUGGAGGCCUUCGGGUUGUGAACCUCUUUCGCUCAUGGUCAAGCCGCAACAAUGGUUGUGGUGAGGGUAGUGGGUAAAGAAGCGCCGGCUAACUACGUG
rnacentral:rRNA from 1 species